rnacentral:rRNA from 1 species
UACAGAGGAUGCAAGCGUUAUCCGGAAUUAUUGGGCGUAAAGCGUCUGUAGGUGGCUUUUCAAGUCCCCCGUUAAAUCCCAGGGCUCAAUCCUGGACAGGCGGUGGAAACUACUAAGCUAGAGUAUGGUAGGGGCAGAGGGAAUUUCCGGUGGAGCGGUGAAAUGCGCUGAGAUCGGAAAGAACACCAAUGGCGAAAGCACUCUGCUGGGCCGACACUGACACUGAGAGACGAGAGCUAGGGGAGCAAAUGGG